GCAAGCGUUGUUCGGAGUUACUGGGCGUAAAGGGUGUGUAGGCGGGUCGUUAAGGUUGGUGUGAAAUCUCCCGGCUCAACUGGGAGGGUGCGCCGAAUACUGAGGGACUAGAGUACGGGAGAGGAAAGUGGAAUUCCUGGUGUAGCGGUGAAAUGCGUAGAUAUCAGGAAGAACACCAAUGGCGAAGGCAGCUCUCUGGGACGGUACUGACGCUGAGACGCGAAAGCGUGGGGAGCGAACAGG
rnacentral:rRNA from 1 species